GGACUCCACGCCGAGGUGUCGGGCGUGGGCUACAAUGGAGCAGGGGAAGUCCUCCUGGACGGAGACGUCGUCCACGGCUUCUCCUGUCCGUCCAUUAGCAAGGUCGUUGAGGUGGGCUGUGUCUGCAACGACUCGGUCAUCAGGAAUCACAAUUUGUUGGGACGACCAACAGAGGGAGCGCUCAUCGCCCUCGCCAUG